CAAUAGCGUAUAUUAAAGUUGUUGCAGUUAAAAGGCUCGUAGUUGGAUUUCUGAUCGAGACAUCAGGUCGGGUCCGAGAGGAUCAUGUACUUUGAUUUUGUUUUGAUCAUCCUUGGGGAGAGCAUUUCUGGCAUUCAGUUGUCGGGAUUGGGAUCCUCAUCGUUUACUGUGAAAAAAUUAGAGUGUUCAAAGCAGGCCUCGGCCUCUGAAUACAUUAGCAUGGAAUAAUAAGAUAGGACUUUGGUGGUCUAUUUUGUUGGUUUGCACGCCAAAGUAAUGAUUAAUAGGGAUAGUUGGGGGUAUUCGUAUUCAAUUGUCAGAGGUGAAAUUCUUGGAUUUAUGGAAGACGAACUACUGCGAAAGCAUUUACCAAGGAUGUUUUCAUUAA
rnacentral:rRNA from 1 species